UCCUGGGCUAUAGCCUAAGUGUUUUAAGCGUGUUAUCCACAGAGACUGGCUGGGCCAUCCUUUUAUUAUUAUUUUUAUAACUGGGAUGCAAACCCAUUGAAUUGUCCUUUCAUGUUUGAUGUUCCAUCAGUUAAGCAUCCCACACAAUUUUUCAUAGAGAUGUUUUCUUACCCCCUGAGGACAUCUGCAACAAUCCGGAACACACUUUCCUUGGUACUUGACUCUAAGUUGCUAUAAAUAUCAGACAUUCUGUCAGCAGCUCAGGGUCACAGCUCAGGUUUCCUGAACCAAUAUCCCUCGCCCCUCUGCCUUGAGUUGUGUCUGUUAGAGGCAGUGGUAAGCAAAGCAAAGUGGAAAAUACAGUUCUUGUUUGUCAUCUCAGUGGUCGGGCUAUCUCACCUCUGAGACUUGGAUUGACUUCUUUGCUCUGAUCUGAUUUGUUACAUGUUGUAAAUGUCAUUAAGAGGCCUCCCAAGUUCAUUAGGAACCGAAAAGUCUCAAUGUUACUCCACAGCA